AGAUAAGAGAAUAAAAGCAGGCUGCCUUGAGCCAGUAGUAACAACUGGCUCUGGUUUCUUCCUGCUUUGUAGCAGGGAGGAAGAAGAGCUUUCUCUGGAAAUGAAAUCAAGCAGCUUUCCUUGUAUUGAAAGGUAAAUUGCCUUUUCAGCCUCAUCAUGUUAUACCGCUCAAUAUAGGAAAUUAGAGAGUUAAUGAGAUGCCACAAGCUUCCAUAUUCUCUCCCACUGCACAGAAAGCUGUGUCUUCUCUGCCAAUCAGGAAAGCGACUGAAGACAGAGUGUUCCAAGAACCAAGAGAAUGAAUGUGGCUGAUGUGUGGAGAGAAGAGAUGGACCAAGAUGAGACUGGAAAGUCUACUGCUGGGGCUGUUAACCAAACCCAACUCAUAAAGCAGAGGAUAAGGAGGUCUUUUGACACAGUCUGGAAAAGGUAGGCUCUCUGGCAUCUGUGUAUAGCUCCACUGCUUCCUCUCUGCCAUCAGUGAUACCCACAAAU
rnacentral:lncRNA from 1 species